GGUUCUGCUUGCAGAACACUUACUUUACGUUCCGGAACAAGUUCUAUAAACAGGUACAUGGCACUGCCAUCGGUGCUUCCGUGUCUGCUGCAAACCUCUCC
rnacentral:lncRNA from 1 species